GGCUCAGUAACAAGUAGUCAAUCUGCCCUCAGGACGGGAGCAACCUCGGGAAACUGAGGUUAAUUCCCGAUGCUCCACCUAUGCUGGAAUGCUUGGUGGGGAAAAUACGCAGCAAAUUGCAGCUGUUGUGCCUGAGGAUGAGACUGCUCCUGAUUAGGUAGUUGGUGAGGUAACGGCUCACCAAGCCGAUAAUCAGUAGGGGCAAUGGGAGUUGGCGCCCCGAGAAGGGCACUGAGACAAGGGCCCUAGUCCUACGGGAUGCAGCAGGCGCGAAACCU
rnacentral:rRNA from 1 species